UACGGAGGGGGCUAGCGUUGUUCGGAAUUACUGGGCGUAAAGCGCACGUAGGCGGCUUUGCAAGUUAGAGGUGAAAGCCCGGGGCUCAACCCCCGGAAUUGCCUUUAAAACUGCAUCGCUUGAAUUGUGGAGAGGUAAGUGGAAUUCCGAGUGUAGAGGUGAAAUUCGUAGAUAUUCGGAAGAACACCAGUGGCGAAGGCGACUUACUGGACACAUAUUGACGCUGAGGUGCGAAAGCGUGGGGAGCAAACAGG
rnacentral:rRNA from 1 species